GAUGAACGCUGGCGGCGUGCCUAAUACAUGCAAGUCGAACGAGGUGCUUUUGUAGCAAUACGAGAGUAUCCUAGUGGCGAACGGGUGAGUAACGCGUUGGUGACCUACCCCAAAGUGUGGGAUAACAGUCCGAAAGGACUGCUAAUACCGCAUGUGGUCUCAGAAGUUAGAGGAUUUGAGACGAAAGGAGCAAUCCGCUUUGGGAGGGGCCUGCGUCCCAUCAGCUAGUUGGUAAGGUAAAGGCUUACCAAGGCGAAGACGGGUAGGGGACCUGAGAGGGUGACCCCCCACACUGGCACUGAAACACGGGCCAGACACCUACGGGAGGCAG
rnacentral:rRNA from 1 species